GCCAUCAUAGCUCAGUGGCAGAGCACUGGUCUGCACAACCAGUCGUGAGUUCGAUCUUCACUGGUGGCU